AGCCUUAGCGUGAUGGCAUAAAAGUAGCGUAAGUGAUUUGUUUUUUUAAUGGUUUCAAGUAUGAAUGAAGUUUUUAGCAGCUUUUUUAUUUACUUUUUGUUUGAAUUAUUUUUUUAAUUAAAAAUUAUUAGUUAAGGUAUUACAAAGAUAAGUCUUCGGAAAUUUUGUUUUGAAUUUUGAAAUUUUUAUUUUUAAUUUUUUCUUGGGGAUGGAUUUUAAGAAAGUUUUAUACUAUUGUUAUUAUUAAAAACUACUCCGGAGUUAACAGGGUUGUAGACAUAUAAAUAGGUUUUUAUGUUAGUGUGCUGCGCUACAUCGAUGUUGUAUAUUUUUUCAGAUAAUGGAGAGGUUUUUUUUUGUUUUGAGACUGUUCUUCUUGUAUAAAAAAUUGACUUGAUAUUAGUUUAGUUCGUCGUGAGACAGAGCGGUUUAUCUUGUGUAUUUUUGGUGCUUGGCGGUGUUAGUACGAAAGGAAUGCAAUGUGGGU
rnacentral:rRNA from 1 species